UUAAGCGACUAAGCGUACACGGUGGAUGCCCUGGCAGUCAGAGGCGAUGAAGGACGUGCUAAUCUGCGAUAAGCGUCGGUGAGGUGAUAUGAACCGUUAUAACCGGCGAUUUCCGAAUGGGGAAACCCAGUGUGUUUCGACACACUAUCAUUAACUGAAUCCAUAGGUUAAUGAGGCGAACCGGGGGAACUGAAACAUCUAAGUACCCCGAGGAAAAGAAAUCAACCGAGAUUCCCCCAGUAGCGGCGAGCGAACGGGGAGGAGCCCAGAGCCUGAAUCAGUGUGUGUGUUAGUGGAAGCGUCUGGAAAGGCGCGCGAUACAGGGUGACAGCCCCGUACACAAAAAUGCACAUAUUGUGAGCUCGAUGAGUAGGGCGGGACACGUGGUAUCCUGUCUGAAUAUGGGGGGACCAUCCUCCAAGGCUAAAUACUCCUGACUGACCGAUAGUGAACCAGUACCGUGAGGGAAAGGCGAAAAGAACCCCGGCGAGGGAGUGAAAAAGAACCUGAAACCGUGUACGUACAAGCAGUGGGAGCCUCUUAAUGGGGUGACUGCGUACCUUUUGUAUAAUGGGUCAGCGACUUAUAUUCUGUAGCAAGGUUAACCGAAUAGGGGAGCCGAAGGGAAACCGAGUCUUAACUGGGCGUUAAGUUGCAGGGUAUAGACCCGAAACCCGGUGAUCUAGCCAUGGGCAGGUUGAAGGUUGGGUAACACUAACUGGAGGACCGAACCGACUAAUGUUGAAAAAUUAGCGGAUGACUUGUGGCUGGGGGUGAAAGGCCAAUCAAACCGGGAGAUAGCUGGUUCUCCCCGAAAGCUAUUUAGGUAGCGCCUCGUGAAUUCAUCUCCGGGGGUAGAGCACUGUUUCGGCAAGGGGGUCAUCCCGACUUACCAACCCGAUGCAAACUGCGAAUACCGGAGAAUGUUAUCACGGGAGACACACGGCGGGUGCUAACGUCCGUCGUGAAGAGGGAAACAACCCAGACCGCCAGCUAAGGUCCCAAAGUCAUGGUUAAGUGGGAAACGAUGUGGGAAGGCCCAGACAGCCAGGAUGUUGGCUUAGAAGCAGCCAUCAUUUAAAGAAAGCGUAAUAGCUCACUGGUCGAGUCGGCCUGCGCGGAAGAUGUAACGGGGCUAAACCAUGCACCGAAGCUGCGGCAGCGACACUAUGUGUUGUUGGGUAGGGGAGCGUUCUGUAAGCCUGUGAAGGUGUACUGUGAGGUAUGCUGGAGGUAUCAGAAGUGCGAAUGCUGACAUAAGUAACGAUAAAGCGGGUGAAAAGCCCGCUCGCCGGAAGACCAAGGGUUCCUGUCCAACGUUAAUCGGGGCAGGGUGAGUCGACCCCUAAGGCGAGGCCGAAAGGCGUAGUCGAUGGGAAACAGGUUAAUAUUCCUGUACUUGGUGUUACUGCGAAGGGGGACGGAGAAGGCUAUGUUGGCCGGGCGACGGUUGUCCCGGUUUAAGCGUGUAGGCUGGUUUUCCAGGCAAAUCCGGAAAAUCAAGGCUGAGGCGUGAUGACGAGGCACUACGGUGCUGAAGCGACAAAUGCCCUGCUUCCAGGAAAAGCCUCUAAGCAUCAGGUAACAUCAAAUCGUACCCCAAACCGACACAGGUGGUCAGGUAGAGAAUACCAAGGCGCUUGAGAGAACUCGGGUGAAGGAACUAGGCAAAAUGGUGCCGUAACUUCGGGAGAAGGCACGCUGAUAUGUAGGUGAAGCGACUUGCUCGUGGAGCUGAAAUCAGUCGAAGAUACCAGCUGGCUGCAACUGUUUAUUAAAAACACAGCACUGUGCAAACACGAAAGUGGACGUAUACGGUGUGACGCCUGCCCGGUGCCGGAAGGUUAAUUGAUGGGGUUAGCGGUAACGCGAAGCUCUUGAUCGAAGCCCCGGUAAACGGCGGCCGUAACUAUAACGGUCCUAAGGUAGCGAAAUUCCUUGUCGGGUAAGUUCCGACCUGCACGAAUGGCGUAAUGAUGGCCAGGCUGUCUCCACCCGAGACUCAGUGAAAUUGAACUCGCUGUGAAGAUGCAGUGUACCCGCGGCAAGACGGAAAGACCCCGUGAACCUUUACUAUAGCUUGACACUGAACAUUGAGCCUUGAUGUGUAGGAUAGGUGGGAGGCUUUGAAGUGUGGACGCCAGUCUGCAUGGAGCCGACCUUGAAAUACCACCCUUUAAUGUUUGAUGUUCUAACGUGGGCCCCUUACCGGGGUUGCGGACAGUGUCUGGUGGGUAGUUUGACUGGGGCGGUCUCCUCCUAAAGAGUAACGGAGGAGCACGAAGGUUGGCUAAUCCUGGUCGGACAUCAGGAGGUUAGUGCAAUGGCAUAAGCCAGCUUGACUGCGAGCGUGACGGCGCGAGCAGGUGCGAAAGCAGGUCAUAGUGAUCCGGUGGUUCUGAAUGGAAGGGCCAUCGCUCAACGGAUAAAAGGUACUCCGGGGAUAACAGGCUGAUACCGCCCAAGAGUUCAUAUCGACGGCGGUGUUUGGCACCUCGAUGUCGGCUCAUCACAUCCUGGGGCUGAAGUAGGUCCCAAGGGUAUGGCUGUUCGCCAUUUAAAGUGGUACGCGAGCUGGGUUUAGAACGUCGUGAGACAGUUCGGUCCCUAUCUGCCGUGGGCGCUGGAGAACUGAGGGGGCUGCUCCUAGUACGAGAGGACCGGAGUGGACGCAUCACUGGUGUUCGGGUUGUCAUGCCAAUGGCACUGCCCGGUAGCUAAAUGCGGAAGAGAUAAGUGCUGAAAGCAUCUAAGCACGAAACUUGCCCCGAGAUGAGUUCUCCCUGACUCCUUGAGAGUCCUGAAGGAACGUUGAAGACGACGACGUUGAUAGGCCGGGUGUGUAAGCGCAGCGAUGCGUUGAGCUAACCGGUACUAAUGAACCGUGAGGCUUAACCU
rnacentral:rRNA from 1 species